GAUGAACGCUAGCGGGAGGCUUAACACAUGCAAGUCGAGGGGUAAAUGGCAGCAAUGCUAUGAGACCGGCGAACGGGUGCGUAACGCGUAUGCAACUUACCUUAUGCAGGGGGAUAGCCCGUGGAAACGCGGAUUAAUAUCCCAUAGAUCAGUGGUAUCGCAUGGUACAGCUGGUAAAGCUCAGGUGGCAUAAGAUGGGCAUGCGUCUGAUUAGCUGGUUGGUAGGGUAACGGCCUACCAAGGCGACGAUCAGUAGGGGUUCUGAGAGGAUUAACCCCCACACUGGUACUGAGACACGGACCAGACUCCUACGGGAGGCAGCAGUGGGGGAUAUUGCACAAUGGGCGCAAGCCUGAUGCAGCGACGCCGCGUGAGUGAAGAAGUAUUUCGGUAUGUAAAGCUCUAUCAGCAGGGAAGAAAGGCCCUUUUAGGGAGAUGACGGUACCUGACUAAGAAGCCCCGGCUAACUACGUG
rnacentral:rRNA from 1 species